rnacentral:rRNA from 1 species
UACGGGAUAAUAUAUUUGAGAGGCAUCUCUUAAAUAUCAAAGGUGAGCCAGUACAGGAUGGACCCGCGUCUGAUUAGCUAGUUGGUAAGGUAACGGCUUACCAAGGCGACGAUCAGUAGCCGACCUGAGAGGGUGAUCGGCCACAUUGGAACUGAGACACGGUCCAAACUCCUACGGGAGGAAGCAGUGGGGAAUAUUGCACAAUGGGCGAAAGCCUGAUGCAGCAACGCCGCGUGAGUGAUGAAGGCCUUCGGGUCGUAAAACUCUGUCCUCAAGGAAGAUAAUGACGGUACUUGAGGAGGAAGCCCCGGCUAACUACGUGCCAGCAGCCGCGGUAAUACGUAGGGGGCUAGCGUUAUCCGGAUUUACU